rnacentral:ncRNA from 2 species
AAGUAGCGAUUAUCCAGGCUUGUAUCCUGGGAAGGCUGAUGAGGAGUAGGGUUUCUGGACACUUAAACAGAUCCAGAGUUAGUCGAUCCUAAUCUCAAUAAUGGGAGAAAGGGAGUACAGUUGAUAUUCUGUAACUGACAACAGUUCGCGGCAACGCAUACUAUUUUUCUCCGCCAAUCUUAUACCGUUGGUAGGGAUCUCUUUCCUACAUGACAGUACUAAUACCCAGGGAAACUGGUCAUCAGGCGAACUGCGGCGUUCUGCUGGCAAAACAUAGCUUCGGUUAUGUCAAUGGCUAUUGGAUUGGUCCAUGAAGCGAAAAAUAGUUUACUGUGUCACUCGUACCGAUAACCGCAUCAGGUCUUCUAGGUAAGUAGCCUAUGGCCAUUGAGGCAUGAUAGUUCAGGGAAUUCGGCCAAUUAGAGCUGUAACUUCGGGAUAAAGCUUGGCUCUGAUGAAAAUCAGAACCGAUUGUUACGCGGAGAGCCCAACUGUUUAAUAAAAACGUAGUGUCGCGCUGUGGUAGUAUAGCCAGUGAACGCGACAUGAAUCCUGCUCAGUGCUGUGUCUGUUAAUAUGGUUCAAGCCAACGAAGCACCGGUAAAUAGCUGGGGUAACUAUGACUCUUAUCAAAGUAGCGAAAUACCUCGUCACUUAAUUAGUGACCUGCAUGAACGGAGCUAUGAGGUUCUCACUGUCCCAAACUGUCUCUCAGCGAACCAACUGUAGUGGGAACGGUCACUAGAUAUCCAGCGGGGAAAGAAGACCCUGUAGAGCUUCACUUUGGUCUAGUCUUGUAUAGUUCCUGCGGGGGUGUAGACUAGGUGGGAGAGCAAUCGAUUCUGAAAAACCACUACCCUGUUUGGAAUUAUGCUUACCUAUCACAAGGAAUAGGACUAGAUAGAAAGUUUGGCUGGGGCGGCACACCUUCGAAAGAGCAGCGAAGGUGUCCUAAGUUGAGCUCAGUGAGGACAGAAAUCUCACGUUGAGGAUAAGG